GGCCUUUUUCUUUUUCAUUAAGGAUUGCUUAAGGGCUGAAAAAUUAUUUUCUUUUUCUUAAAGUAUGUUCAGUUCAUGGCAUUUUGCACACUGUACCCAAUCUGGCAACCCUGGAGGCUUUCCUUCCUUUAAAGCUGCACUGCAGUCAGGUAAGCAUGGGGCUGAGGUGGUACUCUACAGUUACCACUGAGUGGUGGGUGUGGUGGAAUGCAAAGGUAUUCCAUAUAUGCUUACCAGAGGGAGAUGCAAAGCAGCAGCUGAGUUAGGGACUGUUCCCUGCCUUUGUUCUCUGGAAGCCGCCCAGAGUAGCUGGGGCAACCCAGCCAGAUGAGUGGCAGAUGCUGAUGCGAAUGAUUAUUAUUUUGUAUUUCUGUCUGGUAAGGAUAUGGGUUCUUCUUUGGUUGCCCCUUAGUACUGCUUCAGCUCCCUUGUUUACCUUGCUGCUGCUGCUGCAGUAGCUGUAAUGGAAAAGAUUCUCCACUCUAGCUCUUCUUCUUUGGCGAUCACUCGUAGCUGAGUAAGAUUGUCUUCCAUGAAUAUGGUCACAACAGUGAGUCCAUAAGUGGCUGUGGAGGCCAAUUCUGGAUGCACAUGUCCUUCCACAGGGGGGACAUAGGUUUCCGGACGGGAGUUGAUCAUGGUGAGG